rnacentral:rRNA from 1 species
AGAGUUUGAUCCUGGCUCAGAUUGAACGCUGGCGGCAGGCCUAACACAUGCAAGUCGAGCGGUAGAGAGAAGCUUGCUUCUCUUGAGAGCGGCGGACGGGUGAGUAAUGCCUAGGAAUCUGCCUGGUAGUGGGGGAUAACGUUCGGAAACGGACGCUAAUACCGCAUACGUCCUACGGGAGAAAGCAGGGGACCUUCGGGCCUUGCGCUAUCAGAUGAGCCUAGGUCGGAUUAGCUAGUUGGUGAGGUAAUGGCUCACCAAGGCGACGAUCCGUAACUGGUCUGAGAGGAUGAUCAGUCACACUGGAACUGAGACACGGUCCAGACUCCUACGGGAGGCAGCAGUGGGGAAUAUUGGACAAUGGGCGAAAGCCUGAUCCAGCCAUGCCGCGUGUGUGAAGAAGGUCUUCGGAUUGUAAAGCACUUUAAGUUGGGAGGAAGGGUUGUAGAUUAAUACUCUGCAAUUUUGACGUUACCGACAGAAUAAGCACCGGCUAACUCUGUGCCAGCAGCCGCGGUAAUACAGAGGGUGCAAGCGUUAAUCGGAAUUACUGGGCGUAAAGCGCGCGUAGGUGGUUUGUUAAGUUGGAUGUGAAAUCCCCGGGCUCAACCUGGGAACUGCAUUCAAAACUGACUGACUAGAGUAUGGUAGAGGGUGGUGGAAUUUCCUGUGUAGCGGUGAAAUGCGUAGAUAUAGGAAGGAACACCAGUGGCGAAGGCGACCACCUGGACUAAUACUGACACUGAGGUGCGAAAGCGUGGGGAGCAA